UUCACACCGAGAGUCGAGGAUCUGGCGCCACUCGAGUUAGAUGAAGAGCGAGAGGAGGCGGACGUUUGUGUCUGCAAGAACCCCAAUUGCGUUGCAAAGCUGGCAGGAGACAGAGAUAAAACGCUGGAGAGAACUGGUUGAAGGAUUCGAUCCGGUGGGAAAACGCGAGUCGAUGGAGCCAAGAGUGGAGUGACAUUUGCAAUCUUCCAGUCCUCUGGGACCAUGCCAGAAUCAAGUGAUUCUUGAAAGAUCAUGACCAAGGCAUCCGCGAUCUCUUCAGCAACCUCUCUCAGGAUUCUGGGAUGUGUUUGAUCUGGUCCAGGUAUGUUAAUCACCUUAAGUCCUUUGAGUUUGGCUAGGACGUUUUCUUUUGUAAUACCAAUGGCACUCACUCCUGCUCCCUGAACUUCACAGACCUAGUGUCUUCCACAGUGAAGCCAGAUGCAAAGUACCCAUUAAGUUCAUCUGCCAUUUCUUUGUUUCCCAUUACUACCUCACCAGCUUCAUUUUCCAGUGGUCCAAUACUAACUUUAACCUCCCUUUUACUGUUUAUAUAACUGAAAAAACUUUUGGUAUCCUGCUUUAUAUUUUUGGCUAGUUUGCCCUCAUAUUUCAUC